GACGAACGCUGGCGGCGUGCUUAACACAUGCAAGUCGAACGGUAAGGCCCUUCGGGGUACGACGAGUGGCGAACGGGUGAGUAACACGUGAACGACCUGCCCUUGACUCUGGGAUAACAGUUGGAAACAGCUGCUAAUACCGGAUACGAGCCUGCAAGACAUCUUGCGGGCUUGAAAGCUCCGGCGGUCAAGGAUGGAUUCGCGGCCUAUCAGCUUGUUGGUGAGGUAACGGCUCACCAAGGCUUCGACGGGUAGCCGGCCUGAGAGGGCGACCGGCCACACUGGGACUGAGAUACGGCCCAGACUCCUACGGGAGGCAGCAGUGGGAAUAUUGCGCAAUGGGCGAAAGCCUGACGCAGCAACGCCGCGUGCGGGAUGACGGCC
rnacentral:rRNA from 1 species